CAGCCGCCACGGUAAUACGAAGGGUGCAAGCGUUACUCGGAAUUACUGGGCGUAAAGCGUGCGUAGGUGGUGGUUUAAGUCCGUUGUGAAAGCCCUGGGCUCAACCUGGGAAUUGCAGUGGAUACUGGAUCACUAGAGUGUGGUAGAGGAUAGUGGAAUUUCCGGUGCAGCAGUGAAAUGCGUAGAGAUCGGAAGGAACAUCUGUGGCGAAGGCGACUAUCUGGGCCAACACUGACACUGAGGCACGAAAGCGUGGGGAGCAAACAGGAUUAGAUACCCGCGUAGUCCCUGUCUCUUAUAC
rnacentral:rRNA from 1 species